GCCGGGCGUGGUGGCGGAAGCCUAUAAUCCCAGCUACUCGGGAGGCUGAAGCAGGAGAAUUACUUGAACCUGGGAGGUGAGGUUGCAGUGAACCGAGAUCAUGCCAUUGCACUCCAUUCUGGGCAACAAGAGUGAAAUUGUUUGGGAAAAAAAAAAAAAAAAAGGCGGAGUAAUAGGAGACAAGGCAUACAAAUUUACCCAGGCUGGAGUGCAGUGGUGUGAUCUCUGCUCACUGCAAGCUCCGUCUCCCGGGUUCACGCCAUUCUCUUGC
rnacentral:lncRNA from 1 species